GUGGCCAGGGAGCCGCAGGCAAGGGACUAAGGGGAGGGGGGCUCAGUGCCAGCUGCUUAAAAAUGCCCCUGUGGCAGCGAGGGGCACCAGAGGCUGGGUCUAAUUAGUUGAGAAGCAGUGACACCCCCAACCACUCCCCAAACAGGCUGGCUCCCGUCUCCAGGCCCCAAGGAGCCACACCUGGACCAGACCCCAGGAAAGACAUGUGGUGGAAACCCUACGGCCCUGGAGCCCAAGGAGAGCAACGGCUGUAACAAGUGCACAGGCAAGGGCGCUAGCUGGUGGGAGCCACCCCGCCAUGCUGAUGUCAGAGAAGCAAGAACUCUGGAGAAGCAGCCUCCUGGGACCAGAGGAGGGCCAGCAGCAGGCAGCCCGGAGACAGAACUCUCACCCACGCCUCUCCAAGCCUCCCAACAGAAGACAGAGGUCCCCCACAGCCAGAGACAUUUCCUGAAGACAUGGGGAACACAGAGGCAGAAACAGCCCAUCCACCCAGGAGCUGUCCCCCACACUGCCGGGAGCCGGCACCCAGAGCCGCCAGGUAAAACUGAGGCCACCUGGUUCAACAUCACCUUUCACAGAAGGGGAAGCAGCCACAGAAAGAAGGGCCUCGUUAAGAAGUGGAACCUGGGACCCCCAAGCGGUGUCUCUCAUCCUGACUGGGGAUCCAGAGUAGGAGGGAGCCUUUGGUGGGGUAAGUGGAAUGGGGCGGGGUGGGGGGUGGCCAUAGACCCCUCUUCUCAGUAAGGCCCUCAUGUGAAGGAGGCAGGGGUUGGGACAAGUGCUAAGUAUGCAAGACUCAAGGGAAGAGCUGCUGGAGCCAGGAGAAGCACCUCCCUCCCGGCCCCUCUGCCCCUCCUCAUAGCCCAGCUGCACUGACUCCUCCUCCAGGAAGCCUUCUCAGCUUCCCCAGGGGUGGGAACCUUUUUGUCCUCCAGGUGUGCUUGGCUGUCCUUUCUUGGGCUCUCUCUCUCUCUCUCUCCUCAUCCCACUUGAGUCUGCCCCCUAUUCACCUUGUGAGGGGAAUUUUCCUUCUACUCAAUCUGACCGAGGUCCUCCAGGUCAAGGACAGCGAGGCUCUCAGUCCCACUUCCCCUUGGCACAUAGAAGAGGCAGUGCGCUGAAGGGACAGGUGAAAUGAUUAGACCCUGCCCCCAAACCAAGGCCUGGCCAAUUGGACAGGGCAUGAGACAUUCAGCGUAGAGGUUAAAACGAGGGCCCUGGGUUAGGAACCCCAGCUCAGUUCUCAGCUCUGUACCCUUGGAAAAUUCCCUUCCCAUGGAGCUUUGUGGAUGCACAAGGACUUGCACAAAGAAAA
rnacentral:lncRNA from 1 species